CAACACUCCCGAUCAGCUGGAAGAAGAUUAGCCUGGCACAGUCGCUUAGCCAGAAUAGAAUUGACCAGGGUCGAUUUAUCGACAGGCACUUGAAGGUCGAAGUGAACCGUAUGGCCCUCCGAUGUAACUUCUUCCACCGAUGUCACCAAAGCUUUCCCUCGAUCUAUUGUUGGUGGCCCCAAAGCGAGGGGAAGCUUGAGCUUGACUGCACCCC
rnacentral:lncRNA from 1 species